UACGAAGGGGGCUAGCGUUGCUCGGAAUCACUGGGCGUAAAGGGUGCGUAGGCGGGUCUUUAGGUCAGGGGUGAAAUCCUGGAGCUCAACUCCAGAACUGCCUUUGAUACUGAAGAUCUUGAGUUCGGGAGAGGUGAGUGGAACUGCGAGUGUAGAGGUGAAAUUCGUAGAUAUUCGCAAGAACACCAGUGGCGAAGGCGGCUCACUGGUCCGAUACUGACGCUGAGGCACGAAAGCGUGGGGAGCAAACAGG
rnacentral:rRNA from 1 species